rnacentral:rRNA from 1 species
AGUGAACGCUGGCGGUAGGCCUAACACAUGCAAGUCGAACGGCAGCACAGUAAGAGCUUGCUCUUACGGGUGGCGAGUGGCGGACGGGUGAGGAAUAUAUCGGAAUCUACUUUUUCGUGGGGGAUAACGUAGGGAAACUUACGCUAAUACCGCAUACGACCUACGGGUGAAAGCAGGGGAUCUUCGGACCUUGCGCGAUUGAAUGAGCCGAUGUCGGAUUAGCUAGUUGGCGGGGUAAAGGCCCACCAAGGCGACGAUCCGUAGCUGGUCUGAGAGGAUGAUCAGCCACACUGGAACUGAGACACGGUCCAGACUCCUACGGGAGGCAGCAGUGGGGAAUAUUAGACAGUGGGCGCAAGCCUGAUCCAGCCAUACCGCGUGUGUGAAGAAGGCCUUCGGGUUGUAAAGCCCUUUUGUUGGGAAAGAAAAGCAGCAGGUUAAUACCCCGCUGUUCUGACGGUACCCAAAGAAUAAGCACCGGCUAACUUCGUG